UCCCUUUUGAGUUUCAGGCCCAGAGUGUCAGUUACUGAUUGCCACCUUAUGGACCGAGACCCUGCUCUCCUGCCUGACUGGGCCCGUCCCGCUGCCGAGCUGGAGAAAGCCCGUGGGGCCCAGGCAAUGGUACCAUUUCCCAUUCUGUGGGGCUGGGUGCUCAUGGCCACCGUGACAACAGAUGCCUCAGCAAGCUUGGUGGAGCAAAGGCCCAGGUGGGUCCUGGUACCUCGUGGACAAGCUAAAACCCUGCAGUGCAUCCUGAGGGAUUCCCAGUACCCCUGGAUGAGCUGGUACCAACAGGAUCUCCAGGGACAACUACAGCUACUGGCCACCCUGCGGAAUACCGGGGAUAAGGAGGUCGUAUCCCAUCCUGGAGCAGAUUACCAGGUGACACGGGUCGAUAACAUGGAGCUGGAGCUGCACGUGGCCAACGUGACCCAGGGCAGAACCCUGUACUGCACCUGCAGCAAAGACACAGUGAGACACCCUCCUUGGACAAAUGAAUAAAAACCAUCCCGGAUUGGCAACCACAGACCCAACCUCCUCCCCCGCCCCGACAGCCCCCGUAAGCCUGCUUCCUCUCCUCCCAGAUCCUCCCUUGUCGCCUCUUUUCUAUAAACGGGCUCUUUUUUUCCCCCAGUUUAUUUAUUUUUGAGAGAGAAUGUGUGAGAAAAGGCUGUGCACCAGGGGGAGCAGGAAAGGGGUAGAGAGAGGAAGAGAAAGAGAGAGAGGCAGAGAGAGAAUCCCAAGCAGGCUCCAAGCUGCCAACGCAGAGCCGGACCCGGGACUCCAUCUUGCAAACCGUGAGAUCAUGACCUGGGCCGAAAUCAGGAGUCGCACAGCCAACCGACUGUGCCCCUCUGUAGACUCUUCCUGCUGUUUUCCCACCGCCCUUUUGGUGAACACUCCACCUGAGUAGCACGGCGAUUUGACCACAGGCUCCGAAGGGCUCCGUUGCAGACCACUCUGCCACUUGGGAGCUUUGGGAGAAACUUGGUUUCUGUGCCUAUAAAGUACAGACAGUAACUCCGCCCAGCUCAGAGCUUGCUGUGAGGAUCAAACGGCACGAUUCUUCACAAUAUGCCUACAUAACUAGCCAAUGCAUUUUAAUACCAGAGGAGUGCUGGAAAGAAAUCUGGAGAAAUUCUGGGAGCUCAGAAAGGAGGAAGAAUGCGUAUCUCAAUAGGUAGCCCCUUCAUCCACACCCCUAGAAUAAACACCCACUUUUCCAAUUAGAUCCCCAUAUGCAGCACUCACCACCACCUAAACAUCUCACAUCCCAAUCUCAAGUUGAUCUCUUCUGAAGUAAAAUCCUCCAGAGAGGGCCUGACCUGGGAAGGACCAGGGUCUGGAGCCACAGCAGAGGGCUCGCCAAACGUUGACUAAAAAACCAUGGCUCAGAACUGGGUUUGCAAACUGAGCAAGGUCAUACAAGGAGUGAGGGCCACACAAGGAGCCUAGGGUCCCAGGCAAAUGGACCAGAACCAGCAGGCCGGUGCAGGGCCUGGAGAGAGGCCCCGGUCCUGGGUGCCCUGCAGAGACGGUAGGCCGAGAGGCUGCUGCUCCACUCUGCCGCGAGCUCGGAACAUCUCUAUCCCAGAGGGUGUGGACCAGACCAGCAG